CCUACGGGGGGCAGCAGUGGGGAAUAUUGGACAAUGGGGGGAACCCUGAUCCAGCCAUGCCGCGUGUGUGAAGAAGGCCCUCGGGUUGUAAAGCACUUUCAGUGAGGAAGAACGCCUGGUGGUUAAUACCCAUCAGGAAAGACAUCACUCACAGAAGAAGCACCGGCUAACUCCGUGCCAGCAGCCGCGGUAAUACGGAGGGUGCGAGCGUUAAUCGGAAUUACUGGGCGUAAAGCGCGCGUAGGUGGCUUGAUAAGCCGGUUGUGAAAGCCCCGGGCUCAACCUGGGAACGGCAUUCGGAACUGUCAAGCUAGAGUGCAGGAGAGGAAGGUAGAAUUCCCGGUGUAGCGGUGAAAUGCGUAGAGAUCGGGAGGAAUACCAGUGGCGAAGGCGGCCUUCUGGACUGACACUGACACUGAGGUGCGAAAGCGUGGGUAGCAAACAGGAUUAGAUACCCGUGUAGUC
rnacentral:rRNA from 1 species